UACGUAGGGGGCAAGCGUUGUCCGGAAUCAUUGGGCGUAAAGAGCGCGUAGGCGGUCCGGUAAGUCCGCUCUGAAAGUCCGGGGCUCAACCCCGGGAGGCGGGCGGAUACUGUCGGGCUAGAGUCCGGAAGAGGCGAGUGGAAUUCCUGGUGUAGCGGUGAAAUGCGCAGAUAUCAGGAGGAACACCAAUGGCGAAGGCAGCUCACUGGGACGGUAUUGACGCUGAGACGCGAAAGCGUGGGGAGCAAACAGG
rnacentral:rRNA from 1 species